GCCGGGACGGUGGCACAUGCCAGUAGCCCCAUUACACACUCCGGAGGCUGAGGUGGAUCGCUUGAACCCGGUUUUUGACUGUGGUGCGCUAGGCCAAUGGGGUGUCUGCACUAAGUUCAGCAUCAAUAUGGUGACCUCCCGGGAGCGGGGGACCACUAGGUUGCCUAAAGAGGGGUGAACCGGCCCAGGUCAGAAAUGGCACAGGUCAAAACUCCCGUGCUGAUCAGUAGUGGGAUCGCACCUGUGAAUAGCCACUGCACACCAGCCUGGGCAACAUAGCAAGACCUCGUCUCUA
rnacentral:SRP_RNA from 1 species